rnacentral:rRNA from 1 species
GCAGUCGAGCGAAUGGAUUAAGAGCUUGCUCUUAUGAAGUUAGCGGCGGACGGGUGAGUAACACGUGGGUAACCUGCCCAUAAGACUGGGAUAACUCCGGGAAACCGGGGCUAAUACCGGAUAACAUUUUGAACCGCAUGGUUCGAAAUUGAAAGGCGGCUUCGGCUGUCACUUAUGGAUGGACCCGCGUCGCAUUAGCUAGUUGGUGAGGUAACGGCUCACCAAGGCAACGAUGCGUAGCCGACCUGAGAGGGUGAUCGGCCACACUGGGACUGAGACACGGCCCAGACUCCUACGGGAGGCAGCAGUAGGGAAUCUUCCGCAAUGGACGAAAGUCUGACGGAGCAACGCCGCGUGAGUGAUGAAGGCUUUCGGGUCGUAAAACUCUGUUGUUAGGGAAGAACAAGUGCUAGUUGAAUAAGCUGGCACCUUGACGGUACCUAACCAGAAAGCCACGGCUAACUACGUGCCAGCAGCCGCGGUAAUACGUAGGUGGCAAGCGUUAUCCGGAAUUAUUGGGCGUAAAGCGCGCGCAGGUGGUUUCUUAAGUCUGAUGUGAAAGCCCACGGCUCAACCGUGGAGGGUCAUU